AAUAUUGCCGCAAUGGAGGAAACUCUGACGCAGUGACGCCGCGUGCAGGAAGAAGGUUUUCGGAUUGUAAACUGCGUUUAGACAGGGAAGAAUAAAGACAGUACCUGUAGAAUAAUGCUCCGGCUAGACUACAGUGCCAGACCGCGCCUCGGUAAU
rnacentral:rRNA from 1 species